rnacentral:misc_RNA from 1 species
AACACCUCAACCUCCUUCUUUGUUGAAAAGAGGGUGUUGGACUUGAGCAAACCCAACGAAGCGAUUCAUUUCGUCUCGGCGGGUUGCUUGAAAUGCAGGUGCGGCUGUAACAAGAACAGACUGAGCUAAAAGCAUAUCUAUUGAUUGUCCCUGCCUUCUUGGGUGGAUCGAUCUCUAUUUGCUGCAGCUACUCUAAGGUCGUCUUGUAUGAGCUGACUGAUGCAGGAUUGACAAAAGCCUCUUCGCGAGGCCUUUUUCAAA